GAAUAGAAUGUUGUGAAAUACCAGAAACGUGCUCCAUUUCAAUCGAUCGAUUUGCGUUUAACUUGUCUGAUGUCUCUGACGAUUUUGUGAUUGCUUUAUUUAAUUCGUAGGAUGUAAAGUACUAAUAAGUAUGAAGUUUGUGAUUUGUGCGGUUCAUUUCCAAUAUAUAUCAGAAAAUAUUAAAGUUGUGGUUUGAUAUUUUACUGUUUAUACUCACGAAACCAUGGAUUGGAUAAUUUCGGAUGAGUUAGGGGUAACUGUGGGUCAUGUAGUUGGCUGGGGAGCAGCUGGUGCUAUGAUAGUAGGUGGCGUUGCCCCAUACAUACCCCAGUACAUACAAAUCAAGAAGACACAAGAUGCCGAAGGGUUCUCUUUAUAUGUUUGUUUAGCUCUGCUGAUAGCAAAUACUUUAAGGAUAUUGUUUUGGUUUGGUAAACGCUAUGAGCUACCUUUACUGAUCCAAAGUAUAGUAAUGAAUUGCACAAUGUUUGUCAUGAUACAUUUGUGUGUAAAUGUACGGAAAAAGAACCAAAUUAUAAGGGCAAGGGAGAGAAUAUUUACAGGUGCAAUAUUCAUGUUAUAUAUACUGUUGUGUUGUGUGAACGGCUCAGCCCAGCCUGAUCAAACGGCACGCUGGCUGGACCAGCGUAGCGGCAUCGCCGGCGGGGAGAAGCCCCAUCGCUUCUAUGAUAUGGAAAGGAAAUAUUUUUGGGCCUGGACUGACUUCCAGAGCUAUGUAGACUGUAUGUUGGUAUUCUCGGUGCUGGGCGCUGCGAUCACUUACUUGUUGAUAGAGUUUUCGCCUUUCGUGGAACUUAUUGGGUUCCUCGCUCUCUUCACAGAGGCUAUGCUUGGUGCUCCUCAGAUAGCCAGAAAUCACAAAAAUAAAAGUACAGAGGGCAUGAGCGUCAGCAUGGUGAUAAUGUGGACGUGUGGAGACGUAUUCAAGACUACAUACUUCGUCUUAAGGGAAGCGCCUCCUCAGUUUUGGUUGUGUGGAAGCCUACAGGUCUCAUUAGAUGUCGUCAUACUCUUUCAAAUGGUCAGGUGAUGACACUCUGACGAUAUCGGUUCGCAUGUGGGUGCCCAGCCUUCCGAUAUUCAGUCCUCGCUUUAACACCGGGUAACCUACCUGUAAGGGGUGUGGCUGUAUCGCCACAAAACGGCGGCGGCGAGGCGGAUGCGUCGGGGCGAUUAGCAAUGGACGGAGACUGACUUAUAGCACCCGCCGGCCGCGGCUCGGUCGCCUAACGCGAUCAGCGCUUCCAUAGUUUUCAUCGCGUUGUGUGCACCUUACACGGUACAAUUCAUUUGCCUUCCCUACAUAUUAUGACGAUUUUGCUGUGGGUUGUGUGAAAAUGAAGUUGCUGACUAUCUUUAACUUAAAUACGACAGUUUUGAAACGUAUUUAGCCCUAAAGAUGACCAAAUUACUUGUGGUGCAAGAGAAAAUGACUGUUAACGAAAUCUGUUGUUCGAAAAUUGACAUGUUUAUUAUUUUCUAGUGGUUGCAAUAAUUCCCUAGGUAGACGGUGCUAUAGGUUUGUGCCUAAAUGAAUAUCAACGAGGUUCAUGAAAAGAAGUUCUAGUGAUGACGUUUGAUGUAUUGUUAUUAUUAAAUAAGGUGGAAAUAAUCAUCGUCAUUAGAUUAUAUAAAAUUUAGAAUGACCAAAAAGUUUUCCUGUCUUUUUAAAGUGAAUUUACUAGUCCAAAUAGACGCAUUGUCUAAAAAUGCUUGAUAGGGAGUAGAAAAUACAUGGAAUUGUUGUCCACGCUGAUAUCAAAUAAUGAAAUUUUUAUUCUUAUCUACGAAAUUACAAACAAAAUGUACAAGCAGGCAUUUUUAGCGUGGCGCUACGGGUUGUCAACAACAGCAAUAAUUCUUAGUUUGUUGCUGUGUAUAGAGAAGUACAAUAUUAAUAAUGUUAUUUUUUAAAUGUGACUAUAAAAUUGCUUUUAGAGAACGUGAGUCUUAUAACUUGAAGUACAUGUUAUUGUUAU